rnacentral:rRNA from 1 species
AGUGAACGCUGGCGGUAGGCCUAACACAUGCAAGUCGAACGGCAGCACAGUAAGAGCUUGCUCUUACGGGUGGCGAGUGGCGGACGGGUGAGGAAUACAUCGGAAUCUACUUUUUCGUGGGGGAUAACGUAGGGAAACUUACGCUAAUACCGCAUACGACCUACGGGUGAAAGCAGGGGAUCUUCGGACCUUGCGCGAUUGAAUGAGCCGAUGUCGGAUUAGCUAGUUGGCGGGGUAAAGGCCCACCAAGGGGACGAUCCGUAGCUGGUCUGAGAGGAUGAUCAGCCACACUGGAACUGAGACACGGUCCAGACUCCUACGGGAGGCGGCAGUGGGGAAUAUUGGACAAUGGGCGCAAGCCUGAUCCAGCCAUACCGCGUGGGUGAAGAAGGCCUUCGGGUUGUAAAGCCCUUUUGUUGGGAAAGAAAAGCAGCAGGUUAAUACCCCGCUGUUCUGACGGUACCCAAAGAAUAAGCACCGGCUAACUUCGUG